rnacentral:tRNA from 1 species
GACGCUUUGCCGCAGUGGUUACCGGGUUCGCCUGCUAUUUAUCAGCUAAGCGAAUAUGCUUUGCAUACGUGAGUUCGAAUCUCACAGGCGUCG